AGCCACAUCACAUUCAAAUACUAGUUCCCGUAUGAUCACCAAAGUUGAGCAACAUCAAGCUUGGUCAGUAGCUAGAUGGGUGACCGCUUGGGAAUACUAGGUGCUGUGA